rnacentral:ribozyme from 1 species
GGAGAAUAGUCUGUUCUCCUUAAGUUACCUUCAACAAAAAUGGUUAACUUUACCGUCGAUGAGAUUAGAAGAAUGAUGGACUUCACGGAGUGCAUCCGUAACAUGUCCGUCAUUGCCCACGUCGACCACGGCAAGUCCAC